rnacentral:lncRNA from 1 species
UCCUCUUAAGGGCAUUUUUAUUUAGUUGGUAAUAUUUAAUUUAGAUUGAUUGAUAAUUACUGAAUAUUUACCAAACCACCUUUCACUUUUUAUUUACAGUGUGGAAAGACUGAGAACAUACACAAAGAGACAUAAGGAAGAAUGACCAAAGGACUAGAAUACUGGACCAGAUCUUUAAGUAAAAAAGGCCCAUAGGUUGGUAGAGAUGAAGAGUGAAGGAAAUCCAAGUGUGAAUGGAACGUACAAAGUUAAGACUAAAUAAAAGGGCUACUCACAAUAUAGCAGAGAUCCAAAAGACCACUGGAGAAAGGGAG